rnacentral:rRNA from 1 species
UACGUAGGUCCCGAGCGUUGUCCGGAUUUAUUGGGCGUAAAGCGAGCGCAGGUGGUUUAUUAAGUCUGGUGUAAAAGGCAGUGGCCCAACCAUUGUAUGCAUUGGAAACUGGUAGACUUGAGUGCAGGAGAGGAGAGUGGAAUUCCAUGUGUAGCGGUGAAAUGCGUAGAUAUAUGGAGGAACACCGGUGACGAAAGCGGCUCUCUGGCCUGUAACUGACACUGAGGCUCGAAAGCGUGGGGAGCAAACAGG